rnacentral:rRNA from 1 species
AGAUUGAGUUUGAUCAUGGCUCAGAUUGAACGCUGGCGGCAGGCCUAACACAUGCAAGUCGAGCGGUAGAGAGAAGCUUGCUUCUCUUGAGAGCGGCGGACGGGUGAGUAAUGCCUGGGAAUCUGCCUGGUAGUGGGGGAUAACGUUCGGAAACGGACGCUAAUACCGCAUACGUCCUACGGGAGAAAGCAGGGGACCUUCGGGCCUUGCGCUAUCAGAUGAGCCUAGGUCGGAUUAGCUAGUUGGUGAGGUAAUGGCCCACCAAGGCGACGAUCCGUAACUGGUCUGAGAGGAUGAUCAGUCACACUGGAACUGAGACACGGUCCAGACUCCUACGGGAGGCAGCAGUGGGGAAUAUUGGACAAUGGGCGAAAGCCUGAUCCAGCCAUGCCGCGUGUGUGAAGAAGGUCUUCGGAUUGUAAAGCACUUUAAGUUGGGAGGAAGGGUUGUAGAUUAAUACUCUGCAAUUUUGACGUUACCGACAGAAUAAGCACCGGCUAACUCUGUGCCAGCAGCCGCGGUAAUACAGAGGGUGCAAGCGUUAAUCGGAAUUACUGGGCGUAAAGCGCGCGUAGGUGGUUUGUUAAGUUGGAUGUGAAAUCCCCGGGCUCAACCUGGGAACUGCAUUCAAAACUGACUGACUAGAGUAUGGUAGAGGGUGGUGGAAUUUCCUGUGUAGCGGUGAAAUGCGUAGAUAUAGGAAGGAACACCAGUGGCGAAGGCGACCACCUGGA